GACGAACGCUGGCGGCGUGCUUAACACAUGCAAGUCGAACGGUAAGGCCCUUCGGGUACGACGAGUGGCGAACGGGUGGAGUAACACGUGGGUGAUCUGCCCUGCACUUCGGGAUAAGCCUGGGAAACUGGGUCUAAUACCGGAUAGGACUCCUGGCUUCAUGGUUGGGGGUGUAAAGCUUUUGCGGUGUGGGAUGGGCCCGCGGCCUAUCAGCUUGUUGGUGGGGUAAUGGCCUACCAAGGCGACGACGGGUAGCCGGCCUGAGAGGGUGACCGGCCACACUGGGACUGAGAUACGGCCCAGACUCCUACGGGAGGCAGCAGUGGGGAAUAUUGCACAAUGGGCGGCAAGACCUCGAUGCAGCGACGCCGCGUGAGGGAGUGAC
rnacentral:rRNA from 1 species